AGCUUUGUAGUGGAAAAUAAGACGUUAGAUUGCAAAUCUGAAGAUGUAUGUUAUUACUGGAGCUU
rnacentral:tRNA from 1 species